rnacentral:lncRNA from 1 species
UAGCAAUCAUACAAAACUUCUCCAAUUUAUCCAACAAUUCUAAUUUCAUUCAAAUUCUGAUCACAACAACAUUAUAGAUUAAGAAAUCAUUCUGAACACUAAAUUACAACACAUUAAACAUGAUUCUUACAUCAUUCCUUUCAAAAUCAGCAUCAACCCUAAUUCCCAAUUUUUAUAUUCAAGAACAAUUCAAUUAGAUCUAUUUUUCAGAAAUUAUGUAUUAAGAUUAUUGAGAGAUAGUCUCACCCUUACCUUAAUUCAGAAAAUCGCACGACUUACGGUUGAUUUUGGCUCUACUUGUUCUUCUCUCUCCUUGUUCUUUGUUUUCUCUCCCAAAACUUGUUUCACGUAAAACUGAUUCUGACCUUUUCUUUUCCUAACUCCCAAAACUAUAACUCCCCCCUUUAUUUCAUUAAACUCCCCUUAAUUCUAUUAAUUCCUAAUUAACUCCCCACACUCCAAAAUAAUUCUAUUUCUUAUAAUAUUCUCAUUAUAUUAAAAUAAAUCAUAUAAUAAAAUAAUACACACCACAUAAAUCACACAUAUUAUUUAAAAACACCUAAAAGACUCUAAAUAAUUCUAAAAUAAAUAAAAUAACGACUAGGGCGUUACACACGUGGUCAGAAGAAGGCAAAUAAUACUAUCAGAACUUGAAAGCGACAUUCCAUCAAAAAAGACAAAAUUGGUCAGAGUCACCCAGACUAUUGAUGUGUCCUCAAGAACAAAACUUGUUUUCAUGAGUCUUUAAAACAUCUCUUGAUCAGAGCUUUGAUUUUCUGUUGACCUUUCUUUAUAUCAUUCUCUAAGUUUUCAGAAGUUUCCAAUGCUUCUCUUGAAUACCAUAAUGUUUUCUAUUUUGCUUAGAACUUGACAUAUCGGAGCCAAAUACUUGACUUUCAAGUCACAAUUUAAUUAUAUGGUCAUACAUACUUGAAAACACAUUAUAGAACCAAAUUAUUCCUUCAUACAUUGUUAUCAUCAUACUUUAGAGACAUUGUUCUAAAAUUCACUCUGGUUAAAAAAAACAUUUUCUCAACUUAUACAAGUUACACAUUUAAUAUGUAUUAAUUUGAUGUAUAAUGUUAUUUUUAAAAAAAAAAAAUCAUUCUAUGGUACUCACAACUAAUAAAAAAAAAUAUGUUGUCACCUAUUCGAUGCAUCAUUUAUACACAUAUUUGUUUCAUCAUUCGUUACUGUCUUUUACUAAUGAUUAAAAUGUAAUGAAGUUUAAUAAAAAAAAUAUGAGGUAAAGGAAAACAUUCAAUAUUAAUUACAAUUUUAUAAAUGGCUUCUUAUAACUCUUAAGUGCUAAAAUUCAUUUAUUGAAAAAAAAAAAAGUGCUAAAAUUCAUUUAAUUGAAGUUGAUGGAGCAUGGAUUUUCUUACUUAUAAAACAAUCCAAAAAUUGGCUUUAUUGCAUUCAAAGAAAGAUAAAUAUGACUCAAUUUCUCUUCUUUAUCUUUGUUUUGAUGAUCUUUCUUUCUCCAUUUCUUGUUGAAAUGGAAAAGAGUAUGACACCUUUUACACCUUUUUAAUUUUUGAGCAAUGAUAUUUAAACAACCAUUUGCUAACAACUUUUAUGAUAAUCUCAUUUUUCUCUCUUCUUAUUGGUCAAAAAUAAUGGAGAGAGAAAAAGGAAGAGAGAGUAAGAAUAUAAUGUGAGUAUGAGAGAUAAAGUUGUCUAAAAGUUGUUAAAAAAUGGUUGUACAAAUAUCAUUUCUCUUAAUUUUUAUAGUUUUCUGGUUUACUUUUACACAAUAUUUAUCACUUUUAGUAACAUAUUUUUUCUUAUUUGACAAUGCAGCUCAUGUUCGUUGCAUUACUGCCGAUGAUUGUCCAAAGGUGGAAAGACCUCUCAAAAUGAAGUGUAUUGGAAAUUAUUGUCACUACUUUUUAAACAACUUUUAGACAACUUUAUCUCUCAUACUCACAUGGUUUUUAGAGUAAUGAUUAAUAUAGAGAAGAAAUACAUCACGAAUUUAUCACGACACCGCACACUCACGUAUUACCACUAGUUUUUAUUUUAUUUUUUAAAGAACCACUAGUUUUAUUGUUCACUCUCAUAUAUUCCCCUCAUUCAAUAUUCAUUUUGUUAUCACUUAUCUAUGGUCUUUUGUCUUCCAUCCAUGUGCAUUUCAACUUUCAUGGCACUAUGUGAUUCACUCUUCAACUCAUCUAUAAUUAGGAAUAAGGACUAUGAAACACGUACACUCAUAAAAAUGGAUUAAACCAAGAAGCGUUUCCCCAUGAUAUAUACCUUCACAUACUUUAGCCAUGAUAGUUGUUAUUUUACAAACAUGUUGUUUUUAACUAUAUUCGGGACACAUUCGUGAGGGCUAUAUAUAUAUUCGUGAUAUAUAGCACCACUCUUAUUUUUGACAAACUACUUUUUAGAUUAUUGAUGGUGGGUAUGAGUUGGCAAAUGCAAGUGCACCAAAUCGUGCUCAAGUAAUAUAGUAGUAAGUUAUAUUUUUUAUAGGGAUUGUCAUUCAACUAAAUAAUUACUUUUUUUUUAAAUAUUCACCUUCUUUUUUUUAAAUAUCAUAAUACAAAGAAUGUAGGUUGUAACACCCUAUUUCCUAACGAUAAAUAUUAAAUAAUAAGAAUUUAUUUAAUAAUAAUGAUGUUACAAAUCUUCACAUGACAUCACAUAAUAGCCUAAAGUUUCCUUUUAAGUAAUAAUUUAAACGUUAAAACAAUCCUCUAAUCUCAUUAAUAAAAGUUUCUCUUGUCAUUUAACAUCGUAAUAGAAAUAACAAUAGUUCUCAAGAUUCAAUCUCCAAGAUAAAUAAAUUCAACGUCAACUUCAACCCUAGUGUUACAUAUCAGAGCUCGCUCAUAUUCGAAUACAUGUCUAAUCAUUACUAAAAUAAAAUUGACGGAAGACAAUUCCUGUCGAAAGUGUCCCGCAACUAGAUCUCCUCGUCCUAAGUAUUGUACUCCACGGGUACAUACACCAUAAAUACAACAACUAGAAAGGGGGUGAGAAAUCCAGCAAUAACAUAUUAUUAGGAAAAAAACACGCACGUUAAAUAAAUAUCAAGGAAUGUAAUCUCUAUUAUCUCUUCACCCUCAACAGUUACCAUAUAUAAUAUCUUCAUUCACUACAAAAAAAAAAACUGCAUUUUGCGACUUUUAAAAACGUUGAUUGCGACUGUUAGAAGGGUCGCAAAUGUACAUUUGCGACUGUUCCCCAACAGUCGCGGAUGUUGGGGUCGCAACUGUCUUUUGUAUCAUUUUUCACAUAACACAGCAACACAUCAUUUUUCACACUUUAAAAAAACAAACAUCAUCAUAUACAUGCAUAUGGACUCUCCUAUGACCUAUAUGAAUGUGGUACCAUAGCUACUCACAAUUUUUCCAAAGUUAUAUUAGUGGACUUUUCUCCCACAUAGUUGUUAGAGGUAUGUUACUGGACUUCUCUCCCACAUAAUUGCCAGAAGUAUGUUAGUGAACUUUUCUCCCACAUCAUGCAAGACACCAUGUUAUAAACUCUAUAUGGCACAAGGAAAUAAAUUCAGCAAGUAUUGCACAUAUACACUUAAACACAUCACAUAAUCCACAUAUUAAUGCAAGACUCCCCUUAAAAUGCACGACUCUAUUGCAAACACACGAAACAUUAUCACUCUACUCAUCAUCAUAGAUAAACAUUAUAUAUCUCCGUCAUAAUAGUAUAAUUAUCAUCAUUCUCUUUGUUCCUGUAAUAUAGACAUUAUCAUCCUCGUCAUCAUAAUUUAACCACUAUUACUCAUUAAUAUAAUAUAAACAUUGUUUCUCAUCGUAUUUAUUUAUUCACAUAUAUAUUAUAUCAAUCAUCAUCACUCUUUAUCACAGUUAUAGGAUUCCUCAUCAUUACUCUCUAUCAACCGUUUAUAUCACCACCUUAUCUCUUCAUUAAUCCAACUCUUACGUGUGAUGCAUUUCUACGUCAACAUCC